AACGAACGCUGGCGGCAUGCCUAACACAUGCAAGUCGAACGAGACCUUCGGGUCUAGUGGCGCACGGGUGCGUAACGCGUGGGAACCUGCCCUUAGGUUCGGAAUAACUCCCCGAAAGGGGUGCUAAUACCGGAUAAUGUCUUCGGACCAAAGAUUUAUCGCCUUUGGAUGGGCCCGCGUUGGAUUAGCUAGUUGGUAGGGUAAAAGCCUACCAAGGCGUCGAUCGAUAGCUGGUCUGAGAGGAUGAUCGGCCACACUGGGACUGAGACACGGCCAAGAAGGCUAAGGGAGGGAGCAGUGGGGAAUAUGGAACAAUGGGCGGAAGCAUGAUGCAGCAACGCAGCGAGCGGGAUGAAGGCCGUAGGGGUGUAAAACGCUUGCGCCGGGGACGAAGGGGGAGGGACGGUAAUGGGUAAAGAAGCAACGGAGAAGUAGGCG
rnacentral:rRNA from 1 species